UACAGAGGAUGCAAGCGUUAUCCGGAAUGAUUGGGCGUAAAGCGUCUGUAGGUGGCUUUUUAAGUCCGCCGUCAAAUCCCAGGGCUCAACUCUGGACAGGCGGUGGAAACUACCAAGCUGGAGUACGGUAGGGGCAGAGGGAAUUCCCGGUGUAGCGGUGAAAUGCGCAGAUAUCGGGAAGAACACCCGUGGCGAAGGCGGUUCUCUGGGACGGUACUGACGCUGAGACGCGAAAGCGUGGGGAGCGAACAGGG
rnacentral:rRNA from 1 species